rnacentral:rRNA from 1 species
AUUGAACGCUGGCGGCAGGCCUAACACAUGCAAGUCGAGCGGUUGAGGUAGCUUGCUACCGAUGCAGCGGCGGACGGGUGAGUAAUACAUGGGAAUCUGCCUGGUAGUGGGGGACAACGUUUCGAAAGGAACGCUAAUACCGCAUACGCCUACGGGGAAAGGGGGGAGUCGCAGACCUCUCGCUAUCAGAUGAGCCCAUG